UUGUCGAGAAGCUUCUAAAAUAUUUAAAUCUUUUUUCUUCAAAAAAACGCCUUGAUCUAUAAAAUAACUUUCCAAAACUUCUGUGCGAAGUCGACUAUUGUAUUAAAAAAGUCGUAUAAUAAAUUUUGUAAUAAAAGGUAAAAAGUCCCAACAACUAUUAUUAGAGUUAAAGUUUCAUUAUGACAGAGUUGUCAGAUAAAAUUUUUAGACAUAUUUGGGUUAAAUCUUUGGAAAACAUCGGACAAUUUGCAUUCCAUAUUUCAUUGUAUUCCAUUCGGCAUCUGACUACAUAAUUCCUAAACUGCUACACAAAAAUUUCAAUUUAUUUUAUUUAUGCCGACCCUUCUUAUACUUAAGCAAUAAAAACUUACCAAAAGAAACAAAACUCGAUAAAAUAUACAAAGCAAUUAAAAUUGCAUAUCCAAAAAAACUUUUUUUCCAUAAGCAAUAUUAUUGAAUUUGAGAACUUAGGUUAGACCCUUGAGAAACUCCAGAAGUAACAAGAAACAAAGACGAACUGACAUUAUCAAAGAAACAAACUGUGAUCUUCCAAAAAGAUAAGAAUAAAUAAAUUUGCAGGCAGAUCUUGAAAAGUUAAAAUUGUUAUGAAGCUUAUAUACCAACUUAAAGUGACUAACAGAGUUGAAUGCCAUAGAAAGAACAGUAAUCCUAUUAUUGUUAAUGCUGUUCCUGAUUACAUCCGUCAUACUCAGUAAGAGAGAAGUAGUAUUGUGUCCCCUACGUUAAGCAAAUUGUGAUUAAUAUAAAUUAAAUCCAAAUAACUCUAAUAAUCGGCGCUUCAUUAAAUGCUCUAAAAUCUUUGAUAGUACCGGAAGAAUGGAAAUCGGUCUAAGAUCACAAAGACUGUUCACAACCUUCGAUUUUGGUAUAGGAACAAACCUAGCGGUCUUCCAAAACAUUUGAUUGUAUUAAACAAAACCACUUAUAACAUCCUCCUCUCUCACACAUCUAAAAGAACCAGAAAUCUCAGAAUCACUUCUGUCUGCCCUGCAAUAUUUACAAAAAAAUCAUUCUUGCAAUUAGCAUCAAAAUCAGUCAAUCACAUAUCACCCAAACAACCAGUACCCCUAAGAACCUUCUAUAGACCCGCACUAUCCAGACUUCCAAAGACCGCAGUAUAAUACCUUCUACGCUACGCCGACACUUUUCAAUUUACAGUAAACCUUCUAAUUCAUAACAGACCUGUGAAGCAAAUAAGCACCAUAAGCAAAGACCGAGCCAGAACAAUUUCCCGUGAUAUCAUCGAAUCAUUUUUAUUACAAUAGAGUCUUCUCCUAACCACAGGAACAAAUUUUAUGAAAUCAUAAAUAAGAAGUAAAUGCGAACGCAUAUUCAUAUAAAUUUGAAGAAGACCAUCCCAAUCUACUAAAAUAAAAUCAAUAAGUUAUGUAGAAUUAUGCGAAAUGUCAAGAUGUGGUCAAACUUGACCUCAUACACGUGGGUCGAACAAUAGAUGACUUAGCUGAAUCAAAUAAAUUAUAAUUGAAAUCGCUAAGCACUCAACAAACCCAUUUCAGCCCUAGAGAUAGUAAGUUAUAAAGCGUGUUAAAUCCUUGGAGAGUGUUAAAUUAGUAAUAUCUUUUAUCAACUUCGAGUGAAUGACAGUGUCGAAGGUUAUCCAAGACUCCCGGCCGGUUAUUGAUGAUUGAGGCCAUUGGCAAUCUGUGAGGUUAUUUCUGUUAAAGCUGUUGUGAUUGGCGAGCGGGAAAUGCUCUUUCAUGGUUGGUACUAAUAGUGAUUGCACAUUUUUUCUACAGGUUAUAAUAGAUAUCUGGAAUCAUCAAUUUGUGAUGAGAGAGUUCCAGGUAAGGGGCGGUGACGUAUUGUAUCUAGUUUAGUCAGGUAGUCUGGGCAAGCAGCGACAUACAGACUAUGGAAAUGUCCGGGGAGCUCGAAGCGGGGAGCUAUUUUCGUAGAGAAGUCUUCAUCUAUCUGGUCAGACAUGGAAUUUUCGCGUGGAUCGUUUGAUAGCUGUGGGUACCAACUCUC
rnacentral:lncRNA from 1 species